ACCCCGUUCCUCCUUCCACUUCCUCUCCUCCACUGCUCAUGAUGGCGAAUAACGCUGAUGAAACUACAUCAAGUAAAGGUGCAAGAAGAUUGUGGGAAACAAGGCACAGAGGCUGUUCUGCAAGCUGAACUCUCCAGAGUGGCUCACCUAAUCUCUGCGAUGGGACGUUAAGAAGUUGCCAGGCUGCCUUGUGGACCUUCAACAUGGCUGUCACUAGAGAAUGGUCUCCAUGAUUUGUUCCCUGCUUUGGCAGCUGGAUGAUGGUGUCCUCGAUUGAGGUUCUUGUCUUUGGAACAAUUCAGAAGAUGAAUCUUCUCAUAUCGCUUGGAGAGGUGUUUGCCAAGUGCCACACUGCCAGACAAUUCAGAGCCUCUUCAUGGGAGCAAGAUGACCAAGAUUUAUCUGACAUGCAAUGCCUUUGAGGGAAUGUUCAGUGACAACUACUUGAGUUUCCACUGCAAUCUCCCUCAAAGUGUCCAGUUCCUGCCAGAGACAAGGUGUGAGGAUUCUACUUGUCUCAGUCUGGCUCAGCACACACCUGGAACUGAUGCAGUCCGGCACUGAGGACCCUGAUCCAGACCUCAGGUGUAAGGUGACCUGCUGUGGUUCUGAUGGAGAAUGAGAACAAAUCACUGAUAAGACCCUUGCUGACUAUAUUUAUAUACUUAAAAUUAGCACGUUAACAAAAAGAAGCCAAAACCCAGAAGUUUGGCUUUCCUUUCAAAAUGGACUUAAAACUUUUUUGAUUUCUUUUUCUUGCAGCAUGAAGUCAACAAUCCAUGGUUUGCAUGUGUCCAGUUGGCUCUGCUGCUUUCUAAGGAGUGUUGAGUCCAGUUGGAUCUGCCGCCUUCUAUGAUUGAAAAAUCAACUAGCUGCUAACACCACCGCUGUUCCCUGGGGGAAAGGAUCUUCUAGGGGAAACAAAUGUUUCAUUGUAAUGGAUUUCAAAUAAAGCAUCAAAUGUUA